CCCCAUGUCACAUCACGUCUGCCACUGUCGACUAUUUGUGUUAAUCGUGAGUUGUGGAUAGUGAUUCAUUUGGUCUGUGUUUCCCAGUUUAUGUUCAUGAGUAUUUUUAACAAUGUGUUCCAGGGAACUCUUUUUUAAGAUUUCGCUAUAAGCCUGAGAUUUAGUAUCCGUUUUUUUUCUCUUUUUUUUUUCCCGAAUUAUUUUUACUUGAGUGUAUGAUUUUAUGGAACUGCAUGUGGAAUUGGUUUCGAAAUCUCCGCUGCAAUCUCCUAUGUGAAAGUUUAAGAACAUUUUACUUUACACUAGAAUAUCUAUUUACUUCUUGUGAGCCUUCUACACGAAUAAGUGCCCCACACUUAGAUGUGUGCACAGUUAUUUCAAAGAAGAAUUGAUAAAGUGCACUAAGUCUGAGAAUAAUAAUAAUAAUAAUAAUAACAAUAUCAACAACAACAGCAAUUGAAGGAGAAUUAGGUUUGUUGAAUUAAAGGUUUGAUUUACUCAAUAAGUAAUAGGAAUGCCGCAGAGCUUGCUUUUAGUUUCUUUCAGAAGCUGAAGAGUCCCAGGGGAAUGAUAAUGUACUGCUCAUGUGUUCAAGUAAUGGCAGAAGCUUAUCAUGCUUGUCCAGGUUUCUGUCCUAGAGCUAUGAAUAUUGGCCAGAGCUGGAUUACGAGUGCCAGAUGCCAUAAAUGUAAUUUCGAUUCUCAUCACUGAUUCCUCAAGUUCACGGCAUCACCCAUAUUGCUUCGACGAACAGUGUCCCUGUUGAAACAGGCUUCAAAAGGUUGCACCUCUAUUGAAUCGUUACAGUAACUGAAUAUGAUUCUUUUGGGAGAGGAGGAUUUGAAUCCCAUGGUGUUCUGGAAGGUGGGUGUGUGCUGCUAACUUUUAAGCAGUACCCUUUUGGUCUGCUGAUUUAGUGAGGUUGCAAACUUCAGAACAGUCAUUGGGAAGCAGUUUUCCGGAAGCAUGGUGGCUGCGUCCGGCGCGAGUUGUUCCGUUGCAUCACAGCACUGUCAGCAGCGGCAUCAAUCCAAAUCCGAAGGUCACCACGUCGAAUCGUGUUGCACCAGAGGCGGCUUCACACACGAUUGUUGUCUUUAAUUUGCGCACCCACAGAAGGUCGGCUUUCAAGUUAUCAAUCUAGCAUGUUUGUGCAUGUGCUAAUGCAGAGUGCGCAAGCUUUCAUAUUGUUGCUGUGAGACUGAGGGGGCAACUGCCUCUUAGCCUGCGUCAAGUAUCGCCCUGAGUAAUUCAAGGGAGAAAUUGCUGAUACGACAGAAACCUCAAAGUACACAUACAUUGAUUGAUGAACGACGGAACAUCGGAGCCCCAAAAUAUUGUUCCGAGUAUUCUUCAGAGCUGCAGCAAACCACCUGUUGGGUUCCAGGUGUACCAAGCGUGCGACACUUCUAUUCCUAAAAGACGACGUCAUGACCUAUCUUUAGAUGCGAAGGGGAUGUCAAGUAUUCUCAAAAUAUGACUCAAGAUGCUUUUUUUUAUAUUGGAGUUAAGUAGAAACUGUUGACGUUGCAAUUUGAGCAAUAGAGGAAUUCAACUGACUGAUGCUCAUUUGAUGUGAAGCAUUGAGUCCGCAUUUUGUAGGUUUUGAUGUUAUGGACCACGGAAGGAUUUUGACUGUAUACUGUGAUCAUAUGUAGUCCGUCCAAGAGAUUACUGUGACUGACCUAGAAAAGCCACUUCUAUUCUUUUUAGUGCCCCUUGCAAAGUGGUGUUCAGAAGCGGAUUGACGGGCCUGAAUUCAGUUUCCAGGAUUGAUUAGAAGGACAUAGGGGAUCAGUGGAUGGAUAUGGAAGUGGUGCACUUCACCACACCCACAAGUGGAUGGUGUUACGACGCCGCAUCACCGAAAGCUGGAGCACGUUGCGUACGAAAAAGAUCUCUCGGCACGUUGUGCCUAGCAUAGCGAUUCAAGCGCCACACACAAUCUAGAGCUGGAUGCGCUACGGACUCUUGCAAGACCAAAUUUGCUCAGCAGCUCAGAGUGAAGCGGCUCGAUUGAAGUGGCAGGGGCGCUGCGGUAGAACGAGAUACAUGGUAAGUCACCUUUGGCAACAGUACACCUAGUUUUUUCAACGUUCAUUUCACUGUUGCCUGCAACAACUGAAGUGUUUAAAUCUGAUCAUUAAAGAGGUUACUUGACAACGUAAAAAUCGUUUCUUCUCUGACAAUGUCCUUGUAUAGAGACGAUACCAUUCAGAAGCCGCAUUCCGACCAGAACUUACUCACGCUUGCAUCGGUGUCUUAUCUUGAAAUGUUUUUGUUUAAAAUGAAACCCAUCGGUGCAAGGGAAAUCUCAUAGAGCCGGUGACAGCGUUAUUUUAGCUACAUCCUUGUAAGCUCUGAAUUACAAAGCUUUGUCGCUGCUUUGUCGGUGGAAAAGAAAGGAUCUGGGGUUUGUCUUUGGCAUUAAUGUUAAUACAGAUUGGAGAGAGCAACAUCUAGCCAGCAGGUCUCUGCACCAUGGUGCCCUCGUGGUCAGAAGAGCGUGAAUCAUGUGUGUCAUGUUUUCGCUGCUAGGGCUCUGAAGCACACCCAGCUUCAGGUUGCUAUCGUUUCAUGAGCAUUCGUGUGCACUUGAUACGAGGAAAUCCUGCUUCCGGAUCUUUCAAGCCUUCUGUACUUCCCUCUAACUUACUUCACAGCGUUUACCGUUCAGGGUUAGAAACAGUCUGAAUGAAUUGGCAAUUGACUGUGAGUGCCUUAUCAAUCUCGGAGAUUUGUUCAGAAGCGCAAUUGGGACCCAGUUGUCUCUUAGAAUUGUAACCUCUCUGGUUUUACUCGCUGGAACUAACGUGGUAGCUCGACGUCUCUCCGUAGGUGGUUUUGUUUGAGGAAAAUCUUGUGAGUACCCAGUGUCAUCAUAUUUUCUGGCGGUCAUUUAGUUCCACUCUAAGCAUAAUUGCAGUACAUGGACGAGAAUAUGGAGCAACUGGGCCGGCUGGUGCAUGGACUCAACAGUUUGCAGGCUCGCACAUCUUCUGCCUAAGAUUUAUGGCAACCUGCAUCAACUAGCCGGUUAGCACACCUUUGCUGUAGUUCACUAACCCGGACAGAGGUAUUGAAUCAUGAUAACUUGAUUCAGAAAAACCCGAACCAUUUUGGACAGUCGAAGUGGGCAGACUCAAUGUGAUCUACACUGAAUGAAUUGGUUUGCUUAUUUUUUAUAAAAGUCCUCAGGUUUAUAUAUACACCAGCUCAGCGUUUUUUAACAUCGUUCAAGAAAAGCUGCAGGAUUACUGAGGUAUCUUCCUCAGCAAGAGUGCAAUUGUGCAGGACUUAACAUUUUUGACAGUGAAAUGAUGGGUUGGUGUGCGGCCUUGGGUGUUUGGUGCAUGAGAAUACCAGCCGUAAGUUAUGUAAUGACAGGCUAAUACUUGUAGCUAUUUCCAGACCCAAGACCAUGAGGAGACAUCCACAAUGUUUCGAAAGGUCACUGUCUCUGCUUAGAAGCUGAUGUAGAUGUUCAUGCUGUAAAACAAACAGUCUCAUGCACAUCUCCAGCUUGACAGUCUCAGAACUAGCCAGCAUGAACAGAGUCAGCGUGGAGCUCCAAUAUCAAGGAAGGCUACGGGUGAUACAUCGAAAACAGCAGCAUGGCCCCGCUUCACCUGACAUAGACCUUGAAGGUCCUGACUGGGAUAGUGGGAUGCACUGUGGGUAAGGUAGGUGCGGCUAGAUCUUGUCAGAAAUUGAUUCGCAGGAGUAUUUUUUGUGUAAUAAUGUUGCAGGAGUACUAAGACUCCGAAUAUAACUUACAAACGGAGGAGUUGCAAUGCUGAUCUUGGCAAAAUUAACAUGUAAGUGAUCCGUGAUACCAUCUCAAAUUUCGCGGUCCUUUUACUUUAUUCUCUUUCUCAUUGACUUUUUAUUUUGGUAGGAAUUGGUUGCUUUGAAUAUCAAUGUGUAACAACCCUAGUUAUUUUCUAGGUCUCAUGCAAUGGGACAAUUCAGAUAAGCUGCCACCAAAUUUACAAGGUCUUUGUUUGAGGACUUUUAAGAUCAGGAAAUGUCUUGGAAGGAUGUAAUUUUAAUCUCUUGAAUUUGCAAAGAUGAAAAUUGUACAUUUCAGAAAAACAAAGAGACAAUCGACAUGUUACAAACAGCUCCAGGACAUUCAAAGCAUCAACUUAUUACAAUUUACACCAAUGAUAUAUCUUGCCACUACUGGAAAAAGGCUUUCAGCCAUCCAGUGUACAGCAGGCGGCUUGACAUUUGGAAAUCAGUAGAUUUCAAAUUCUGGAAAAAAAAACGAAUGACAAACAAGUAAACAAGAGGUAUAUUAAGCCGUCAUGCUGGCGAUCAUGACACUUCUUGAGAAUUGGAAAAUUUGCAGCAGAUUUUACCGUCACUACAGAAUCUACGAUAGAGGUACUAUAAGCAACACCAUCUAGAAAUGCUACUUACAUCUAGUGCAGAAAAUUGUUGCCAGGUGGAGCACAAAUGUCCUAGUUAUUUGGUCGGAAGUUUUUGUUUGUCUGAAGUGGAAAAAGGCUUCAUGGUUGGGCUUGACAUGUUUUAUUCAGUGUACUGUAACUGCAGUGCAAUGUGCAGGAAGCACUUCAUGGCGUAGAGCUUAUAAGCAUUUCCUCGCUGACACUAGUCUACACCUGGAUCGAAUGGGACAUCCUGGUGAACUGAUGUAAGUAUUUGCGACUGGUAUGUUCUGAUGCGUAUUUGUUUCACUUUACAAGUUGGGGUUUCUUUCCCUCUGUAUGGGGAGAGAAAUAGAUUCAUAACUCAUUUUUGUUCUUUUCUACCAACUGGCCAAAGUUUCUGCCUGAAGAUGCUCUAUUCCAUUUGAGAGAAGUAUUUGCCGUACUGCUAAUUUCGCAGUGCAUCCUAAGAAUAUCUCGGACACCUGUUUUCUUAUCAGCAUUUUAGUUGUUUUUGUUUCAUGUUUAUUUUGGAGCAUAAUCUUAUCUGAUUUUUAAACUCUUCAAAAAGUAUUGAUUAGACUCUAUUGUUGCAAGCGGGAAUAAGUACGUGUGCUGGUUGGUGCUUGCAUGGAUUAACCAAUUUUAUGCUAUGAUUGCUGGGAAGAAGAGACUCGUCCAUGGAUGUCGUACAAGGUACUUUUGGUGGACCUCUUCCUUCCUAAACCCCCGCUUGUGAGGAGUUUCUGGACUGCUUCAAGCUUUUCAUAUUCAAGGCUAACCACAUUCCACAGUUGCUGGAACUCGGAGAGAUGAGACAACCUAUUCAUUCUUUCGAGAUUGCAUUCAAAACUUCGAUAUCGUGAAACUUGUGUAUAACUCCACCGAAAUAAGGAACGGACGAUCUCUUUCCCUUUGUGUAAAAAUUAGUACUUUGACUUUAGUAAGGCUGAAAGACUAGCAGGUUACACUACGUUUCAAGUCUAUGAGGAUAGAAUCUCAGUCUACCUAGUGUGUCUUAGAUAGGUUUUAUGCUUUUGAAGUUGCGUAGGAGGUGCUUCCCACGAGGAUGUCCAAGCUAAGAGCAUUCAUUCCAUGCUUUCUAAUGGUAAAACUGCAAAUUGGACCUCAUUUUGUAGUUUUCUACUUAAUCAAUACGCAACCUUUGGACUGAUGACGAAAUUCUAGAAGAAA